GACAGAGGGUGCAAACGUUGUUCGGAAUUACUGGGCGUAAAGCGUGCGCAGGCGGUCUUUUAAGUCAGAUGUGAAAUCCCCGGGCUUAACCUGGGAACUGCGUUUGAAACUGAAAGGCUAGAGUGUGGCAGAGGGGGGUGGAAUUCCCGGUGUAGCGGUGAAAUGCGUAGAUAUCAGGAGGAACACCGGUGGCGAAGGCGGAUCUCUGGGCCUUACCUGACGCUCAGGCGCGAAAGCUAGGGGAGCGAACAGG
rnacentral:rRNA from 1 species